CACUUGUUUACAACCGCUGAACAGGCCUGCAAGUCCGAAGCUGUCACUUUCAUAGAAGAACUGUCAAUUGACGAUAAAAUCAGCUGUUUUUAAACGUCUCGUGAAAAGGCCCACUGACGGAACCGGACUGAACUGUCAUUGUUUUUUGUUUUGUCAUUUGUCGGCGGGAAAAAAAUGAUUGAAGAAUGUAAAUAUUGUAUGGAAAUUAAAGGCAAGAAAGAAUAAAAUUUAUUGUAAUGUAAAACGGGUGGCUCAGGAAUUGACUGGAAAAAAGGAACAGCCAAAGAAGGACAAGUGUCAAGUGAUUAUGGAAAGAGCUUCGGGAAUGCUGAAUACGCUGGCUCAGCAGACGCCUUAACCCUGAGAAUGAUUCGCUACUCUCAACAUCAUCUGUAUCGUCCACACAAGUAGCCUCUAUAUGUGGAGCACCACUGUCACUUCCGCCUAGGCCAGUUGGAAUUGGAAAUUUAGCACCGCCACAGGAAACAGCAUAAUUACCCGGCAGUACCAUAUACCUCCGAAUGAUCCUCAAUGAAUGACCUCGGUUAGGCAGCAGUAACUAUACCAUCUUCCGCAUCCUUGUUCUCUAUGUAAUCAUUGGAAUAUUGGAAUGACAGACAGACAGACUACACAUCGCUGAAAAGCAGAAACGAGGCACUGGUGUGAAUCCGCUACUUCCGCAUUCAUUCAACCAUUGACACCACCAUAGAUUCGAGGAAAACUAUGACGAGGAUGACGGCUUUUGCAGUACAAAGGUGAGCUCUGAAUUGUUGAAUCGGCCGAGGAAUCGGCAAACUCGUAUGUGCCCGAAGGCACUGAGGUAUCCGCUAUGCAGGGAGAAGAAGCUGCCUGUAACGGUAAACCGGCAGGUCCUGUGGCAAUGCAUUCACAGGGGAUAUAUACAACCCACUACAAAACAUUCAUGGAGCAUAAAAGCAACGAGCAGAGCAAAGAGAAUGAUGCGUACGAAGCUGUAUGAAUGCAAACAGCGUAGGUGCAGCGGAUCAGGGAUAAUGCAAAAGAUUUUAUAUAGGCCUUCUGUACCGCAACCUGAUAUCACGAUUCAUCGUCGAAUGGUUACGGUAACGAUCACAGGAGCUACGGUGAAAAUGGCCUAGAGGCGGUGGAAACUAACUCAUUAAUUAAAUCAGAUCGAAAAAAAUCCACAAGAAACGAACAAAAUUUAAUACCUGUCAUUUUUCUUCCAAAAUUUAAUAAUAAAUAAAAUGAAAACAAAUUUUGAAUACGUAAAA